UAGCCGGAUUAGUGGCGGACGGGUGACGUAACGCGUGAGUAACCUGCCUUAGAGAAACGGGGACUACGCCUUUGGAAACGAAGACAUAAUACCCUAUGACACCAACACCUCGCAUGAAGAGUUGGUCAAAGAUUUAUCGCUCUAAGAUGGACUUGCGUCUGAUUAGUUAGUUGGUGAGGUAACGGCUCACCAAGACAGCGAUCAGUAGCCGGCUUGAGAGAGUGUACGGCCACAUUGGGACUGAGACACGGCCCAGACUCCUACGGGAGGCAGCAGUGGGGAAUUUUGCACAAUGGGGGAAACCCUGAUGCAGCGACGCCGCGUGAUUUAGAAGGCCUUCGGGUUGUGUAAAUCUUUUCUAUGGGUAAGAACAUGACAGUACCAUAGGAAUAAGGACCGGCUAAUUACGUGCCAGCAGCCGCGGUAAUACGUAAGGUCCGAGCGUUGUCCGGAAUCAUUGGGCGUAAAGGGUACGUAGGCGGGUAAACAAGUUAGAAGUGAAAUCCUAUAGCUCAACUAUAGUAAGCUUUUAAAACUGCUCAUCUUGAGGUAUGGAAGGGAAAGUGGAAUUCCUAGUGUAGCGGUGAAAUGCGCAGAUAUUAGGAGGAAUACCGGUGGCGAAGGCGACUUUCUGGCCAUAACCUGACGCUGAGGUACGAAAGCGUGGGUAGCAAACAGGAUUAGAUACCUGGUAGUCCACGCCGUAAACGAUGAGUGUUAGGUGUCUGGAGUAAAUCUGGGUGCCGCAGCUAACGCAUUAAACACUCCGCCUGGGGAGUACGCGCGCAAGCGUG
rnacentral:rRNA from 1 species